rnacentral:rRNA from 1 species
AUUGAACGCUGGCGGAAUGCUUUACACAUGCAAGUCGAACGGCAGCACGGGGGCAACCCUGGUGGCGAGUGGCGAACGGGUGAGUAAUGUAUCGGAACGUGCCCAGUCGUGGGGGAUAACGUAGUGAAAAUUACGCUAAUACCGCAUACGAUCUAUGGAUGAAAGCGGGGGAUCGCAAGACCUCGCGCGAUUGGAGCGGCCGAUAUCAGAUGAGGUAGUUGGUGGGGUAAAGGCUCACCAAGCCGACGAUCGGUAGCUGGUCUGAGAGGACGACCAGCCACACUGGAACUGAGACACGGUCCAGACUCCUACGGGAGGCAGCAGUGGGGAAUUUUGGACAAUGGGCGAAAGCCUGAUCCAGCCAUUCCGCGUGCAGGAUGAAGGCCUUCGGGUUGUAAACUGCUUUUGUACGGAACGAAACGGCGAGCUCUAAUACAGAUUGCUAAUGACGGUACCGUAAGAAUAAGCACCGGCUAACUACGUGCCAGCAGCCGCCGUAA